AUUGAACGCUGGCGGCAUGCCUCACACAUGCAAGUCGAACGAGUGGCGGACGGGUGAGUGAUGUCUGGGCAACUGCCUGAUGGAGGGGGAUAACUACUGGAAACGGUAGCUAAUACUGCUUACCAUCGGAUUUGCCCAGAUGGGAUUAGCGAGUCGGUGGGGUAAAGGCUCACCUAGGCGACGAUCCCUAGCUGGUCUGAGAGGAUGACCAGCCACACUGGAACUGAGAAACGGCCCAGACUCCUACGGGAGGAAGCAGUGGGGAAUAUUGCACAAUGGGCGCAAGCCUGAUGCAGCAAUGCCGCGUGUAUGAAGAAGGCCUUCGGGUUGUAAAGUUCUGUCAGCAGGGAGGCGGUACCCGCAGAAGAAGCACCGGCUAACUCCGUGCCAGCAGCCGCGGUAAUAC
rnacentral:rRNA from 1 species